rnacentral:tRNA from 1 species
GCUGGGGUGGCGAAACUGGUAGACGCGCACGGUUCAGAGCCGUGUAGGAGCAAUCCUAUGGGAGUUCAAAUCUCCCCCUCAGCA